CAAAAGACCGGUUUCGCUGUCAGGAUUUGAAGCUGAUGUGUGCUGACAGUGAGCAGAGUCGUACGUGCUGGAUCACGGCCUUCAGAUUGUUUAAGCAUGGGAAACAGCUCCAGUGUAAUUACCAGCUCUCCCAGUCCAGCGCCAGACUUCACAAACCAUCACGACCAGACUCCAAGUAUACAGACCGGGAGGAGUCGAUGGUGGCCAUGGAUUUUUCAGGGAAGAGCGGUGGUCGAGUGAUUCAGAAUCCA